UGUAGCCCGCUCCCGCGCGCGCACAGACCGAGAGCUCUGUCCUGGACCGCACAGAACGCGAGAUUCACCUGAGGCUCCUUCUGCUCCUCAAGGUGGACAGCUGGCUCCUGGCAGUCGUGAGUCCCAACCCCUUGCUAGUGGCUCAGCUGCAGCCCAGCUUUCCCUAAAGCCUCUCAGAGGAACUCACUCUAGAUGAGCUCAGCCUGCACUCUAGACUCCUCCAGCUGCGCUCAGAGGCCAGGCAGGGCAGGCCACCUUGCGCGCCCCGCCCACGGGCAACGCAAAAGGAAGUGGGAUUUUGAUGGCCUUGGAAAGAUGGAGUAAAUAAUUAUGACCAGACAGCCACAAGAUGGCAGCACGUGCAUCUCUUAGUUAUAUAGCUAAGCACAAAGAACUAUGAACAAACAUGUUCCACCGCCUUUCAAACAAAGAACAAAUUGUGUAAGAAUGGACUCAUUACUCAGAUGUAAGGAAUCUUCUGAAUACCAAAGCCUUUUCAGAAGUUUUGAUAAAUACAGAAUCUGAUGUACUUACUCCCAAGAAGUUCCACCUGCUGAUGGAUGAUUAUCAGGUCCAGCUGAAAAGGAUGAUACAAAUGAAGUGAAAACCAUUCCAUGACAGCCCUUACUGUGCCACAUGAAGCCUGUCAUUUUUAUGAAAAUGUUUUGAACACUCACCAUAUAUAAGACAAAGACAUUGCCACAGAAACUGAAGCAAACUCUGAGAACAAAAUCAACUUACUUUAUUCUAGAUCAAUGAAAAAAUGCAUGCCAUGUCUCAACUAAAGAACAAAUUAGACAAGGGAAAUCAGAAAACUUUCAGACACCAACGAAAAGUCAACUGAAGCAGAGAAAGUGUUCUGCUAUCAAAUAUUGGCCACAACCUUUGGCCUAGAAAAUGGAGAGAUGUGAGCAAGGAAGGGGAAAGCAACUUCAGAAAGAACGUGGUUGUUACUUCUAAGAAGAAGCAAAUUAGCAAUGGAGCCCUGUGGUCAGGGUUACAGUAUCUGAGUUUAAGAUCAGUUCUUUAAUCAACCAUCAUCAGAGAAGUUCCUUCUUCAGCAAGUGGGUACGAAUGCAGAAGAGACCCACAGCAAGCACACAGAGAGGGGAGAUAAAGCCAUCAUGAAAGUAAAACACCUACUUGGAAAAAGUCGCAUAACUUGGUGACUGAGAGAACUCCUUAAAAACAACACAGAGAAAGAAAGACAAAUGAUAACAAUUUAAAGGACUGAAAAGAAAGGAAAAGAGCCCUAGACAUCUACCAGAACACGCCUGACCUGAUACCUUAGCACGUUUAUCUAGAGCCCUCAUUGUCCUGGAUGAAGUAGAAAAGACUGAAUUGGAAGCUCGGUGCUCAGUGACUCCAUUUGUCCACGUGGAUAAAUCAUCUCCAGUCAGUAGAUUGCAAAGCCCACAGACGAAGCAAACAUUUACCUGUCCUAUUGUUCUUUACCUUGUUUCAGUCUUGCACAUGUACUUCAGUACGACUCAGGUGGAAUGGUGUUUAGACAUAAAUCUGACUGCAUGGCCUCGUUCUGCCAUUAUCUGUCUGUUAUGCACAAUAAAAAUGUAACAAUC